rnacentral:rRNA from 1 species
UACGUAGGGUGCAAGCGUUGUCCGGAAUUAUUGGGCGUAAAGAGCUCGUAGGCGGCUUGUCACGUCUGCUGUGAAAACUCGGGGCUCAACCCCGAGCCUGCAGUGGAUACGGGCUAGCUAGAGUGCGGUAGGGGAGACUGGAAUUCCUGGUGUAGCGGUGGAAUGCGCAGAUAUCAGGAGGAACACCGAUGGCGAAGGCAGAUCUCUGGGCCGUAACUGACGCUGAGGAGCGAAAGCAUGGGGAGCGAACAGG